AGCAGCCGCGGUAAUUCCAGCUCCAAUAGCGUAUAUUAAAGUUGUUGCAGUUAAAAAGCUCGUAGUUGAAUUUCGGGAUCAGUUCGUCGGCCGUGCCUUUGGUAUGUACUGGUGUUACUGGUUCCUCCCUUCUGACGAACCGUCAUGUCAUUAAUUUGGUGUGGCGGGAAAUCAGGACUGUUACUUUGAAAAAUUAGAGUGUUUAAAGCAGGCUCGCGCUUGAAUACAUUAGCAUGGAAUAAUGAAAUAGGACGUUCGAUCCUAUUUUGUUGGUUUCUAGGAUUGACGUAAUGAUUAAUAGGGAUAGUUGGGGGCAUUAGUAUUCAAUUGUCAGGGGUGAAAUUCUUGGAUUUAUUGAAGACUAACUACUGCGAAAGCAUUUGCCAAGGAUGUUUUCAUUAAUCAAGAACGAAAGUUAGGGGAUCGAAGACGAUCAGAUACCGU
rnacentral:misc_RNA from 1 species